GUUGAUUGUAUGGGGUGGGGUUGUUUAUUCUUGUGAAUUUGGGUGGGGGUGUGUGUGAACUUUGAAGAGGGGAGGUGGAGAGUGCUAUGCAGGCAGCAAUGGUGGUUUGGUUUGAUUUCAUUUCAUUUCAUUUCAGAUCCAAAUAAGGAAAGCGUUUUGUUGAUAAGCAGCAGGCAGGGGUGGACGGACGGGCAAUGCAUACACAAUGAAUGAUACAAGUACAGUACAGUACAAUACAAUACAAUACGUGAAGCCGCCUGCCUCCUCCAUUCUUUUUACUUUACUGCUACUAGUAAGAUGGGCGUGGGCAUGGGCAUCAGCCCUUUCAAAAAGCAAAGAGCCAGCAAUAGCAUAGCCAAAGCAUGAAUGUAUGUAUGUAUGUGUGUAUAGGGGAUGUGGUUGGAAAAACGCUAUAAAAGUUAUUUGUUUGCUGGGUGGUGUGCUGUGCUGUGCUGUGCUGGUGUGUGGUCGGUCCGGUCCGUCCACGUUCCAGUGCGAUCAACAGCUGCUAGCCUGCUGCUGCAGUGAGUGAGUGCUGACACGGUGACACCCUCUCUCUCUCUCUCCCCCCCUCUCCCUCUCUCCCUCUAUAUAUAUAUAUAUAUAUAUAUAUAUCCAUCCAUCUAUCGAGUGACGAGGAAUUUUGGGGGAGUGGUUGAGCAAGAGCAAAAGAACAAAGGAAGAAGGGAGGCAGGAGAAUCAAAUCAAUAAUGGGCACGAGAACGAAUCUCUACAAAACCCCCUCCCGUGCCUACAACAAGCACCUUAAUCUCAAUUCCGUCCUUCAAAACCUCAACACCUACAAUAUUGCUACUGGAAAUGCCGUUUCCGAUCAACCAGCGCCACACAUCCCUAAAAAACCCCGCCUUGACUCUACCUCGGCGCUUCAUCUACGGAACCAGCUCACAAAGGACAACGACCGUCCUAUGACACAUCAGGAAUACAUAGAUAAACGCAGGAAGGAAGCUGAUUUUUCUCAACCAUACCAGGAGUUAACUCCCUCUGUGCUGGAAAGCUCAACUUCAAAUUCCAAUUUGGUGGGCUAUGAAAGUGAUGACAGUGCUUCUGCAGGAUGCAAAGAGGAUGAUGUUUCUUUAACUGUCAAUGAGGAACCAUAUUCUAGGAAUGCAAUGCAGUACUUUGGAAUUCCUGGCAACAUAGACGAGGUUGAUCAUAUCAAGACACGAGCUGAGCAACGGUAUCCUUCUCAAGAAGAACCUGUAUGUGUUGUUUGCAGGAAAUAUGGCGAGUACAUAUGCAGUGAGACUAAUGACGACAUAUGCAGCAUGGAAUGCAAGUCUGAACUUCUGCAGGGCCUUAAAUCUAAGCAGGAAUUCCAAGGUAGCCCAUCCCUUGCUGAACCAUUGUCUACACACAGCUGCUCAUUGGGGGUGCCAGAAUCUGGAGGGGCCACUUGGGACUAUGAUCGGCAUUGCUGGUCCAAAAAGCAAUCUGGGUUUUGUACUUAUGAAUGCUGGAAGUGUCAUAAGCCUGGGCAUCUUGCAGAAGACUGUUUGGUGCUGACAUCUUUCUAUGAAUUAAGACAAGCUGGUGAAGCAUGCAAUGAUGUACCACUGGUUCAAAAGAAAUCCAAUACAAUAUCAAGAGAUCUUCUUGACUUGUAUAACAGAUGCCACCAAGUUGGAAAAACGUUCUUGUCUGCAAAGUGCAAUUCAUGUCGUGGAUCAACCACUUUAGCCGCAUGUCUAUCCUGUGAUAAUUCCUUUUGUGACUGGGUGUUAUUAAUUGGGUCUUCUUGCUUUGGAGCUUUGUGGGUACAUUCAAGCUCCUUCCAACUGUGGCCCAGUCCAUGUCAUCUGUCCGCCAACAUACCGUCUAGUAUCUGUUAAAAGGCACAUUUUGAUAUUAGGAUCCAUGACAACUCAAUUGGUUUCCCAUCAACCAUGUCAAUAUCACGUAAGAAAUCAAGGGCCUAUUUGUAUUGGGAGAUAUGAUGCCCAUAGAUGAAAGAGAAUUGAGCAACCAUAAUCCCAAGGAACUAACUUCCCCAAGUUGUUAGUUGAAAGUAGUGGAACAAGUGGUAAUGAAAAUCAUCCUCGUCGUUGUCAAUAAUAACAACAUUAUCAACAUAAAAAACAAGAUAAAUAAUAUUGUCUGCCAAGGUAUGUUUAUAAAAGACAACUAUCAAAUUCAAUCUAGAGCAUCCCCUCAUUGUUGGUUGAUAGUACUGAGCCAUUUAAAUGAGGCAUGAGUGAACUGCUUCAAGCCAUAUAAAGAGCGGCUGAGUUCCAUACUAGUCCAACUUACUCCGGAUCAUUAGAAUCAAGAGGUUGCUCUAUGUAAAUCUCCUUCUAAAGCUUACUAUGUAAGAAAGUGUUCACAAUGUGUAGUUGAUGCUGGUGAAUUGCAUAUAGAAUCUAGAGAAAUAAGUAGGUAAACAAAGGAAAUCUUGGCUACUAAAGAAGAGGUGCUGUGUAUUGACCUUAAAUUUAAGUAUAAUGCUUGGCAAAUGGCAACCACGCAGGCCUUGAGAUUAUCAGCUUACCGUCAAGACCAAUGGCAAUGCAGGCCAUUUGAGUGAGCAUAUCUGGGAGCAUCCAACUCAUCAGCAAUAUUACUCAUUUAAGCUUAAUCGUUUGGUAGUGAUUCAUCUGUUUACGUUUUCACUUUACUUCAGUUGACGCAUCU